AAAGAUGGCUGAGGAAUUUGAUGUGGAAGCCAUGCUGGAAGCGCCGUACGUGAAAAACAAAACCUUUAUACUCAAUUUGUUGCUAGAGAUUGAUUCAUUUUGGUCAUUCUUAAAUAUGUAGAGCUGGAGACCAUUUGAUGAUUGCACAUACAUACACAUUUGGGUCUGGGCAGCACAUGUCAUAUGCAGGAGUUAAAGGCAAACCUAUUCACAUAAAUUACUGCUACCCCAAUAUGACUAUACCAAUCAACUAUUCGUCAACA